CCUACGGGAGGCUGCAGUCGAGAAUCAUUGUCAAUGCACGAAAGUGUGAACAUGCGACGCCGCGUGGAGGAUGACGGCCUUAGGGUUGUAAACUCCUGUCAGCAGGAAGGAAUAAUUAAAUAAUUAAUACCUAUUUAAUUUGACAGUACCUGCAGAGGAAGUCACGGCUAACUCUGUGCCAGCAGCCGCGGUAAUACAGAGGUGGCGAACGUUGUUCGGAUUUACUGGGCGUAAAGGGUCCGUAGGCGGUCUGGUGUGUCGGAUGUGAAAGCUCACAGCUCAACUGUGGAAUUGCAUUCGAAACUGCUAGACUAGAGUACUGGAGGGGUGAAGGGAACACUUGGUGUAGCGGUGAAAUGCGUAGAUAUCAAGUGGAACACCGGAGGCGAAGGCGCUUCACUGGACAGAUACUGACGCUCAUGGACGAAAGUUAGGGUAGC
rnacentral:rRNA from 1 species